ensembl:snoRNA SNORD73 Small nucleolar RNA SNORD73
AAUGUGUGAUGACAAACUGUUUCGGUCCCAAAUGAGGGGCCUGAUUACUUACGAGAUCAACUGCCUUUCCCAUU